rnacentral:rRNA from 1 species
AGUGAACGCUGGCGGUAGGCCUAACACAUGCAAGUCGAACGGCAGCACAGUAAGAGCUUGCUCUUACGGGUGGCGAGUGGCGGACGGGUGAGGAAUACAUCGGAAUCUACUUUUUCGUGGGGGAUAACGUAGGGAAACUUACGCUAAUACCGCAUACGACCUACGGGUGAAAGCAGGGGAUCUUCGGACCUUGCGCGAUUGAAUGAGCCGAUGUCGGAUUAGCUAGUUGGCGGGGUAAAGGCCCACCAAGGCGACGAUCCGUAGCUGGUCUGAGAGGAUGAUCAGCCACACUGGAACUGAGACACGGUCCAGACUCCUACGGGAGGCAGCAGUGGGGAAUAUUGGACAGUGGGCGCAAGCCUGAUCCAGCCAUACCGCGUGGUGAAGAAGGCCUUCGGGUUGUAAAGCCCUUUUGUUGGGAAAGAAAAGCAGCAGGUUAAUACCCCGCUGUUCUGACGGUACCCAAAGAAUAAGCACCGGCUAACUUCGUG